ACCCAAUUGACCUGGGUCUAUCACAAUGGAUAUUUUUACCAUUUCUGCAAAUGGAAGCAAUGACAGAGUGUGUCAGCCCUACUAAUCUUGUUAGAUCUCCAAGAGCUCCUGAAUAUCCAGAUGCAGACCUUGACAGGGUUAUCCAGGUUUUGUCAUCUUGUGGAUGGAUUACUGCAAUGCACUCUGCAUAGAGCUACAUUUGAAAUCCAUCCAGAGGUCAUAGCUAGAGCAAAAUGCAGGGUAUUAAGCAUUACAAGAGGUCAGAAAAUGGGAAA